CCUACGGGUGGCAGCAGUGAGGAAUAUUGGUCAAUGGGAGAGAUCCUGAACCAGCCAAGCCGCGUGAGGGAAGACGGCCCUAUGGGUUGUAAACCUCUUUUGUCGGAGAACAAAACCCGGGACGUGUCCCGGACUGCGUGUAUCCGAAGAAAAAGCAUCGGCUAACUCCGUGCCAGCAGCCGCGGUAAUACGUAUGGAGCAAGCGUUAUCCGGAUUUACUGGGUGUAAAGGGAGAGUAGGUGGCAGAGCAAGUCCGAAGUGAAAACCCAAAGCUCAACUAUGGGAAUGCUUUAGAAACUGCUCAGCUAGUGUGCAGGAGAGGCAAGUGGAAUUCUUAGUGUAGCGGUGAAAUGCGUAGAUAUUAGGAGGAACACCAGUGGCGAAGGCGGCUUGCUGGACUGUAACUGACACUGAGGCUCGAAAGCGUGGGGAGCAAACAGGAUUAGAUACCCCUGUAGUC
rnacentral:rRNA from 1 species